GAGGGUAUAGCUCAGUGGUAGAGCACAUGCUCAGCAUGCGUGAAGUCCUGGGUUCAAUCCCCAGUACCAUUA
rnacentral:tRNA from 1 species